GAAUCUUUGUUCUUUCUACUUCUAUUAACUUUUUUUUCUGAUUUUUGUAGAUCUGCCAAUAUAUCUUGAAGAUCCGACCAUAAAUCUUGAAGGUAAAUGGGGGAUAUCUACAAAUUUUGAUGGUACACGGCUUUUCAUUAACGACAAUUUUGAUCAGAUGCUGACAUUCAAGGAAAAUGAGCAAAAUUUAUUAUUUUAAUUUUUCUAACUGUACCAACUAAAUUUUUAUUUAUAUUUUGUUCUUCAUUUUAGAUUAUGGUUUCAUUUAUAUUUUAACUACUAUCAGAAUCUUAAUACCAUGUUGGGUCGAAGAUGCUGGAGAAUGAACUUAAGCGUAAUUUGGAUGCCGUUUAUGAUGUGGAUUUAUGUUCUUCUCAGUCUUCCACUAAACCGCCUAAGGGUGAUUGUGAGAACAAUGAAGGUUUGAAUGUGAAGGUGGGUCUUUUGAAUCCAAAGCUGGAAAAGUAG